rnacentral:lncRNA from 1 species
GGGAUAUUGAGGACCUUUGGGAGCUACAGCAGGCAGAACUUAAGAUACUUAGUAGGAGAGGUAAGCGAGGGGAAAGCUGGAAAUGCUGCUGGUGACUGGAGGUGCUGUGCUGCCAUUUACUGGGAUGGAGAAUACAUGAGAUUGCAAGAACUGAUGUCAAGGCUGGGUGCAGUGGUGCAUGCCUGUAAUUCUAGCAAUUGGGAGACUGAAGCAAGACAAUUGCUGUGAGUUCAAGGCCAACCGGAACUACAUGGUGAGACCCUGUCUCAAAAAGCCAAAAACAAACUAACAAAAAACCCCCAACCCUGAUGUCUAUGCCCAGAACCACCAUAGGGAAGGGAUGUGGAGGGACAGAACCCAAGAAAGGAGCAGCAGACAGC